CCUACGGGAGGCAGCAGUGGGGAAUAUUGGACAAUGGGCGAAAGCCUGAUCCAGCAAUGCCGCGUGAGUGAUGAAGGCCUUCGGGUCGUAAAGCUCUUUUACCAGGGAUGAUAAUGACAGUACCUGGAGAAUAAGCUCCGGCUAACUCCGUGCCAGCAGCCGCGGUAAUACGGAGGGAGCUAGCGUUGUUCGGAAUUACUGGGCGUAAAGAGUACGUAGGCGGUUAUUCAAGUCAGAGGUGAAAGCCCGGGGCUCAACCCCGGAACUGCCUUUGAAACUAGAUAACUAGAGUCUUGGAGAGGUUAGUGGAAUUCCGAGUGUAGAGGUGAAAUUCGUAGAUAUUCGGAAGAACACCAGUGGCGAAGGCGACUAACUGGACAAGUACUGACGCUGAGGUACGAAAGCGUGGGGAGCAAACAGGAUUAGAUACCCUGGUAGUCCACGCCGUAAACGAUGAUAACUAGUUAGUUCGGUCACUUGGUGACUGAGUGACGCAGCUAACGCAUUAAGUUAUCCGCCUGGGGAGUACGGUCGCAAGAUUAAAAACCUACGAAAGUAAGUUAGACGGUCUAGAGACGUCGACCGAAGGACACCGACGGAGGGAGUAGG
rnacentral:rRNA from 1 species